rnacentral:lncRNA from 1 species
CCAUGAGCUUGUCAUUAUCUAAUAAUGAUCGGAGCGACAGGGUAGUGGCCAUAGCUGUAUAAAGGAAAACCAGACCUCUAUUAGUACAUAAAUUAAUACUAAAGACUUGGACUUUAGUCUAAAAUUUUUUCCAAUAUUUUUACGAAUUGGUAGCCUCAACCUCCAAUUCGAGGAAUUACUUUAAUUCCUUAAUGGGUACUAGAAUCCACACAGACUACACACGAGCCCAACUUUGGUUGGUCAACUCAUGUGCAUCUAUGGGUAGGUUCUUAACCAGUUGUUUCUCUAAACAACUUCUAAUAAUUGAUUUUGCCCCAGAACCUAAUCAGUAGGCUUUGGCCUCCACUAAA